rnacentral:rRNA from 1 species
UAAUGUGGGAAUCUGCCUUUUGGUUUGGAAUAACACGGGGAAACUUGUGCUAAUACCGAAUAAGCCCUUACGGGGAAAGUUUUAAUGCCGAAAGAUGAGCCCGCACUUGAUUAGCUAGUUGGUAAGGUAAAAGCUUACCAAGGCAACGAUCAAUAGCUGUUCUUAGAGGAAGACCAGCCACAUUGGGACUGAGACACGGCCCAGACUCCUACGGGAGGCAGCAGUGGGGAAUCUUGCACAAUGGGGGAAACCCUGAUGCAGCGAUGCCGCGUGAGUGAAGAAGGCCCUUGGGUUGUAAAACUCUUUCGUCGGGGAAGAAAAUGACUGUACCCGAAUAAGAAGGUCCGGCUAACUUCGUGCCAGCAGCCGCGGUAAUACGAAGGGACCUAGCGUAGUUCGGAAUUACUGGGCUUAAAGAGCUCGUAGGUGGUUAAAAAAGUUGAUGGUGAAAUCCCAAGGCUCAACCUUGGAACUGCCAUCAAAACUUUUUAGCUAGAGUGUGAUAGAGGUAAGUGGAAUUUCUAGUGUAGAGGUGAAAUUCGUAGAUAUUAGAAAGAACACCAAAUGCGAAGGCAACUUACUGGGUCACUACUGACACUGAGGAGCGAAAGCAUGGGUAGCGAAGAGGAUUAGAUACCCUCGUAGUCCAUGCCGUAAACGAUGUGUGCUAGACGUUGGAAAUAUAUUUUUCAGUGUCGCAGCGAAAGCAUUAAGCACACCGCCUGGGGAGUACGACCGCAA